AAGUAUGCUAAGAACUUUCCAGUUUAAUGAUAUGUGCCAAAAUAAUGUAAUUACAUUUUGAAAACCUUUAGUUUUCUUUUUCAUCUGUGUGCAAUGUCGUGGAUUCUUACAAGUUGAUCUCUAUACUGCCUACUUCUAGUGCAGAUGGGCAAUGUAGAAAGUACAGGAUCCGAGGUGGAAGAAUUCUGGGUUGGUUGUCUAAGAAUUCUGAUAGAAACUCAGAGGCAUUAAGCUCUAGUGGCAGAAUCAAUUGAAGAUUAUGAAGCUGCUGACAGAAGCUCUUUUUUCUCUAGUAUUCCAAGGGAUUUUAUGUGUCCUUUUAACGGGGCAGCUUUUCAAGGAUCCUGUGUACACUAGAGACUGGGCAGACCUUUGACGCGCGCAGCCAUUAAAGAAUGGUUUGAUCGAGGGAAUAGAACAUGUCCUGUAUACUGGACGAGAGCUGAAAUAUUUGUCUGUCCCCAGUUAUGAAUUUUGUGUUGAAGCGCUUUAAUUGACUCCUGGAAAUCGGAAACUUGUAAAAACCUCCUCAUUUUUGCCACCCAAAUAGCGGGGGAUCCAACAAAGCAAGAUUGCAAAUCCAAAGAUGAGUCAGCUUUAUACAUAAUAGAGCAGCUUCCUUACUGGUUUAGCACAGAGGAACAAAUGAAAAUGCCAGACACCUUAUUCACUCUUGGUGGUUUAGAUUUUCUUUAUACAUAGGUUUGAACUGGGAAAUUUAAAGGAAAAAUCAUGCGUUGCUGGACUUCUGUUAUGCUGUAUCAAGGCAGAUGGCUGUUGCAGGAGCUAUUUGGCAAUGAAUUUAAAAAGUUCAUGUUUUCUUUGAGCUUCUCUACAGUAACCAUUUUACUUCAAGAACAAAUGCUGUGCUGCUGUUGAUUGAACUGAUUUGCCUAGAAAGAAGGACAGCAAUCACAAUGUUCUUAAGUGGGUUGCAAACAGAAGCAAUUGUGGAUACAAUGAAGGCACUGCUUGUGUAUCUUCAGACCUCCCACCUGAAGAACGAGUUCUAGUUGCUGUUCUUCUUUACAAUUUGAUCUUGUGGUAUUCUUCUUCCUGUCUAUUCUGGUAUAUUCAACUAGAUUUACCCUCUUGAACCACAUUCUAUCACUUUGCCCCUAAUUACUCUUCCAUAUCUGUCGUAUGUGCAUAUUACAUACCAUGUACGAGCAGUAAUCGAAGUCGAAAAGAGCUAAUUUGCAGAUAGUUACCACCCCUGCUAAGCAGUGUUCCAUGUAAAUUAAGUUGGCAUUCAGUUGAACUCAAAUAUUAACCUUUAUAUCAAUACUCCCAUCUUCUAAAUCUCCCACAAACUGAAGUUGAUCCUAUGCUUGGAACUCUUUAUUUUACAUUAUUCAGAUUUUCACAUUUUUCAGAAUAUAAAAUGUUUAUGCAAUAUUAUAGAAAUAUUUAGUUGCAGUAUGUUAUUCUUUUAACACAUCUAUUGCCUUCCAAAGCAAAAUAUUUGUUUGUUGGUUGUCUCUGCAGUUGAAUGCUUUUAAGACUAUGAAUAUUAUUUUCCCUCUGGUAGCAUUUUUUUGCAAAUACAAAAAGAAUUUGCCGGAAAGUACUGACACACUUUUAUAUACAAAUUUUUUUAUUAGGAUUGGCUUAUAAAAGCCAUGUAGCCAUUGAUUUAAUUAUCUUAUUAGUUCUUUCAAUCAUGCUUAUACACAACCUUAUGUACCAUUUUGUCCAAGAUAUCAUAUUCAGAUUUACAUUUAUGAUGAUUCAAACUUCUAAGACAUUUGUGGUUGCAGGUAGAGCCCUGCAGGUAUAGUAAUAUACAGAGAAGACGGCUCUGGAAUAGCAUGAACGCUAGCUCUGAAUUGCUGUUCCUUUGACCAGAAAGUCAUACCAAAUUCUCGGAGGGCUCUUCUCAUGCUGGAGGGGUUACUUCUCCUUAUCUGGAGAAAUAUUGGCAGAGGCCCGGUUGCUGCAGCAAGCAGGAUAUACUCUGAUGUUGGCUUUGCGAACUCUGAUGGUGGCGGUAGAGGAAAGUACAUCGGAAGAAGAAGCAAACGAAAAGGAAAAAUGGUUGAAAAAUGUGACUUUGGCCCUUCUUCGUAGUGGAAAGAGAUCAUUUCUAGAGACUCUCUCAAAGUGUUUAGGUAUGGGAACCUAGAAUUAGUGAGGGCAUGCCUAGCUACAGUUGCUUGGUUGAGCCAUGUACUUGUAUCCCUGUCUGCUGCUGGGCACCAGCUCUCUGCAUUCUCAGCACUCAUCCCUCCGGUUGAAGGAAAGUAGAGAACUGUGAGCAGAUUGAGCACAGGGUUCUAAGCCUUCAAU